rnacentral:rRNA from 1 species
AUGGACUAUGUUCGCCUUCGAGCUGUGUACAAAAAUUGGCGGUACAUCACUAUUUGCCCACGCGGUCAUGGCAUCACUGAUCCUCGUUUCCACCCGCGUCGUUGGAUGAUGUUGCCCGAGGGUCAUGGUCUCCACCCUGGCCACUACAAGCUCGGGGGGUAUGUUCGCUUUCUCAACCUCGACACGGGGACCUUGGUCCGUGUCAAGCUCCCGUUGUUCAAGAACCACUGCAUUCUUGACUCAAUCAAUGGCCUCCUCCUCCUCCAAAGGGACGAGGACUCCGCCAUUCUCCUCCUCAACCCUUUCACUAGUGACAUCACUGAGCUCCCACCACUCUCCACCCUCCUCACACAAGUGGUGACACAGUCUGAGAUCACAUUUGGCCUAUGCUACUGCUAUCUCCUCAAACAUGGCAUGUCUACUGCUGUCUUCUGCAACAAUGACGGUACCACCACCGUCAUGAUUAUCUUGCAUCAUUUAUCACAGUUGGCCUAUGCUAACUCCCAAGACAAGCAAUGGAUCUUGGCGAGCUGGGAUCUUCCGUUAAACAUGAAAGCUUUGUCAUGUCAAGGCAAGUUAUACUUGGUGCAGUAUCCUGCAUCUCAUGGUUCACAAGUUCUUCAGAUUGACCCACCCUUGCAGGUUGGUUCGCCGCCACCACGGCCAAAGUUAAUUGCCACAUGCCCGACAAAUAAACUUGUCUAUGGUUAUCAUCUGGUAGAAUGUGACUCGAACAUCCUUCUUGUUUGCCAUACUGAUGAUUCUCGAUCACCCAUUUUGAUUUACAACCUUGAGAAUAUUAUUGUGGGAAGGUUUACCCCGGUAAGAAGCAUUGGAAAGCAUGCCCUCUUCCUCGGAGAAAGGAGUCUGAGUGUCUCCUCUAAGGCAUUGCCUACUAUCAUUGCUGAAACUAUCAUCUACAAAGGACCAAGGGAGCAUCGCUUUGUGCAAUACCACCUCAGUACCGCCAAGUGGUCCGAACCAGUUGACGAAUGUAGCAUCUAUGGAUAUAGCCCCGGUCCUCAUAGCCUCAUCCAACAUAUCAUUACUUGUUGCAUUCGUCGUGCUUGGAACAAAGGGCUGAUAUAUUCUGAAGCGGAAGCGUAUAAGCCUGGAUGGCUCACCUAG